CGCUGGCGGCGUGCCUAACACAUGCAAGUCAACUUGACUGAAGGAGCGAUCUGACAGUAGAGUGGCGCAAGGGUGCGUAACGCGUAAGUAACUUGCCCAAGGUAAGGAUUAACGUCGAGAAAUCGGCGCUAAUACCUCAUAAUGCAGCGGAUCCGCAUGGAUAUGUUGUUAAAGGUUUACCGCCUUGGGAUAGGCUUGCGUCUGAUUAGUUAGUUGGUGUGGUAACGGCACACCAAGGCUACGAUCAGUAACUGGUCUGAGAGGAUGAUCAGUCACACUGGAACUGAGACACGGUCCAGACUCCUACGGGAGGCAGCAGUGAGGAAUAUUGGGCAAUGCUCGAAAGAGUGACCCAGCAACGCCGCGUGGAGGAUGAAGGUAUUCUAUAUCGUAAACUCCUGUGAGAGCAGACGAAAGACAGAUUAUUAAUCUGGAUGACUGUAUGCUCAGAGGAAGCCCCGGCUAACUACGUG
rnacentral:rRNA from 1 species